CCUACGGGUGGCAGCAGUGGGGAAUAUUGGACAAUGAGCGAAAGCCUGAUCCAGCCAUGCCGCGUGUGUGAAGAAGGCCUUCGGGUUGUAAAGCACUUUCAGUGGGGAAGAAAGCCUUGGGGCUAAUACCCUCGAGGAAGGACAUCACCCACAGAAGAAGCACCGGCUAACUCCGUGCCAGCAGCCGCGGUAAUACGGAGGGUGCGAGCGUUAAUCGGAAUUACUGGGCGUAAAGCGCGCGUAGGCGGUCUGAUAAGCCGGUUGUGAAAGCCCCGGGCUCAACCUGGGAACGGCAUCCGGAACUGUCAGGCUAGAGUGCAGGAGAGGAAGGUAGAAUUCCCGGUGUAGCAGUGAAAUGCGUAGAGAUCGGGAGGAAUACCAGUGGCGAAGGCGGCCUUCUGGACUGACACUGACGCUGAGGUGCGAAAGCGUGGGUAGCAAACAGGAUUAGAUACCCGGGUAGUC
rnacentral:rRNA from 1 species